UUUAUGUUGUCUUUAUAAGAAGCUGAAUGUAUAUAUCUGCUUUAAUGAGGAACUUGAUCGUAUGAUACCAGCAUAUUUUAAGUAAGAUAUGACUAAACAAUUAUACAGAAUUUUUAAAGCGUAGCGAUUUCUAAAAUCCCUAGAAAAUCAAAAAAUAAAUCCAAAUUCAUACAUUUGCCUUGUCGAUAAUGUUAGUGAUAUGCUUGGUAAAACAGUCGCUGAUUAUAGAGGAAACCUAGAUGGCGCGCUUUAUUUACCAGAAGAUAGGUAAGAACCGUCAAGAAUGUAAGAAUAACAGAAUUCUCCUCUUAUUUAAGAAACAUUCUCAUCACUUAGUACUUGAGUAUGUUUAAUUAUAAUUUGUUGCAAGCCUACCAUCUUCAUAACCUAUUAGGAUCUUCUUGCAAUAAAUUCUAUAUUCCAUACAGAUCGACGAAGAAUGAAUCUAAUUAUAAUAAAACAAAAAUCAUGAAAACUGUAUACGUGUAAUUACAUAUGACCCAUAUAUGUACGUACUAUCGUAUGUUAUCAAAUUUUAUAUGCGCAAUACACAUCUUCCUUAACCUUUAACAAUCGUCAAAAUGUACAAAUAUUAAUCAUUACGAAUGUAUAUGUGAGUCAUAACUUUAACAAGAAAGAACUUUGCUAUGGAAAUUAAAAUCGCCACAUUUUACAAGAGAAUAUCUCUAAUAUGUAAACGAUAAUGAUAAAAAUUAAUUAUUUAAAGUAAAAAUAAAAAUACAGAAUACAGACAUAAAAAUAGUAAGAUGUAAUUGUUCAUAAACAAAUUUUUCGUUGACAUAUUCAUUGUACCAACACUAUGUCAUCCGAGCUAGCAGGUAAUUUUAUGAUAUGCAUAUAAUAUCAAUACAAAUAUUAUCGGUAUAAGACGUAAAUUACAAAUCACAAAAUUUUGAAGGACAUUUUUGUGAUAAUUUAUAAAUAAAACAUAUACAUUUUUAUAAUACAGAACUAAAAUUUACGCGAAGAUUAUUUGUUAGUAUUUGCAAACAUGAAUUUCAUCGAAACUCUAAAGAAGAAAAUCACAAAAUUCUACAUUAAGAGAAGAAUUUGAAACAUUUGCUUUCGAAUAUCAUGCGUUAUAGCUAUUUACUUAUCUUAUAUUAAUUAAUUAAAAUAAAUACAAAAAUAUUUCCUUUUCCUAUCCUUAUUCUAUCAGUAAAAUAGUACAGUACAUAAUACGUUAUAACAUAUGUUUUUUAUUAGUAUUAACACAUUACAUUGAUUACAGCAUAAAUGAUAACAAAAAUUCAAUUGACAGUGAUCCUAUUAAAGAGCAUUGAAGUUGACUUGUUCUUUUUAAUGCAGAGUUUGUUUUAAAGUAUUGUAUAAAACACAGAAAUCAAUUAAUUAACCAAUUUAUUUAUUAUUCACUAUAAUUAUUAGUUUAAAUAUUAAGUAAAAUAAAUAUUUUAUACGAUUGAAGUCGUAGAAUAGCUGUAAAAUAUUCUUCUAACGAAUUGUAUGCAUAAUCGUGAAGUAAUUAUUCUAGUAACUGUUCGUUAACUCUAAACUUGAAUAUGACCUUUCGAUUUGUUAAGUCUGAAUCAUGGUACAACUUCUUUUUAUAGUUACGUUUAGAUUAAGUAUUACUCUAAACGGAAUGAACUGAAAGGAACGACUAACUAGUCGUGAUAAUGGCAAAAUCAAUGAAGUAAUAUUACCAAAGGAACAUCAGUAGAAAACUACUUUAUUGGGUUGUGAACUUUCUCGAUUAUAAUUUUAACGUCCAAUCUUAUCUUCAGAAAUGUAUCCUCGAGGUUUCCUAUGUAUCUCACAACUUUCAUUUUUUGUUUGUUAUACAAAUACCCAUUAUUAUACUACUUUUUUAAAAUUUACUAUCUAUUGUAUCAACAUAGAAACUAAUUUACUUAAUUUAAUUUUCAAUCAUUUCCAGUUUGUCAUUUUCUAUAUGCCAUAAGGGUUCUUAAUUUUUUCAUAAAUACAGACCACCAAAACUAAAAGUGCAAUAUUUCAGUACCAAGCAGAAAAACAUAUUUUCUUACCAAAGCGAUUGUCUCAUUACUAUGUCAAGAAGUGUAUCGCGUGUCAGCAAAGUUUAUCGCAACCAGCUAGACUGUCUAGAACCAUCAUUACUGUAUAAAUGGCGUAAAAACAAAUACGAUUGAUGAUCCUGUGUUUGCAUCGCUGAUCGAAUAACCCAAAUUGUGAACGAUAUUUGCUCUGCAUUCGAAUUCAAUUCCGAAAUUAUUGUAUUUUGCCAUUUGAACUAUUCCACUGUGACAGAUUAUCCCAUUCAAAUGGAAUUUUUUUAUCAUUCUAGUAUCGUAUAAUAUAUUAGCAUAAUAUAGUAUAUUGUCGCAUAGUAUAGUACAAAUAAAAAGAUCAGUACAAAUAAUAUCAUUUUAGAAAUCGUCUCCUGUAAAAGCAAUUAUUCCAAUUUCUAUCAGUAAAUUCUAAGUAUUUUUUAUUCUUAUGUUAGGUAAGAUAUUUUUCAAUACUAAUUAUGUAAGCAAUGUAUAAUAAUUUUUGUGAUUUACAAUGUAUUGUAAUGAGCGUAAAAACAGUAGAUAUUCGUUACUAUUAGAUUAAAAAAUAUAAAAGAAAAAAUAUAAUGAGUCACUUCUUUAUUUUUGUUUCUCUCGCUUCUAUUGUAUUUUAUACAUUAUUAAUUAUAUCUUGUUUUAUGUUGAUGCAUUAUGUUUAAGAAACUUUUUUUAAAAUUUUUAAUAUU